CUUCUUCUUUCGGGCGCAGCUGAAAGGUUGAGGUUGGCUUGAGGAUAGCUGCGAACUGGCUAUAAUUGGCAUGCAGUUUUGGGAGCGCUGAGCGCUGAUUGUUGACAACUGGCUGGCACAACUUCAUCAUCGUCAGCCACGGGAAGCGAACUCGAUCUCGAGCUCUGGUGAGGAUCGGAUCGGAGCGACUCGGCAAAACAAAGGGCGACAUUAAUGCACUGCCAGCAGCACUCUCGAAGUCGCCGAAGGGGCGUGACGAAUUUGACACAACGGCAAUGACUUUAUUAACAACUGACUCCUGCUCCGACAUCCCCGAUCACCCUGGCAGAAGCCACGGCUCAAACCCCCGUC
ensembl:ncRNA lncRNA:CR44089 long non-coding RNA:CR44089